ACAAGUACCGUGAGGGAAAGUUGCAAAGCACUUUGAAGAGAGAGUUAAAGAGGACGUGAAACCGAUGAGGUGGAAACGGACAGAGCUGGCGUAUCUGGUCUGCAUUCAUCCGUGUGCUUUUGGGCGUUUGGAUUGCCACUCUCCAGACUGGGAUGGUGUUCAUUCUGUUCAGGGGCUCAUGGAGCAUUUGCAGGCGGAGUGCGCUGAGAUGCUCGGGGCAGCUGCAUGAGCUUGGCUUUGAGGCCAGCCCUUCGGGGUCUGGUACCCGGGCUGGGGGAGUGUUGUUUGUUCUGGGUGCUGAGUGGUGUGCAAUGGCAACGGGUCCGUGUUGGUUUGAGCUGGCGGUCGGUGGCGGUCGCGUGCGACACGUGCCAGCAGUCAGUUCGGUCCUGCUCGGGCUCUCAUUGCAUGUUCUCGGUGUAAAAGCCGGUCAUCUGUCCGACCCGUCUUGAAACACGGACCAAGGAGUUUAGCGUGUGCGCGAGUCAUUGGGAGUUGAAAACCCAAGGGCGUAAUGAAAGUGAAGGUCUCCUUGCGGAGCUGAUGUGUGAUCCCGUGCACCACGGUGUGCGGGCGCAACAUAGUCCCGUUCCUAUCACAUGCGAUGGGGCGGAGACAGAGCGUACGCGCUGAGACCCGAAAGAUGGUGAACUAUUCCUGAGCAGGAUGAAGCCAGAGGAAACUCUGGUGGAAGUCCGAAGCGAUUCUGACGUGCAAAUCGAUCGUCUGACUUGGGUAUAGGGGCGAAAGACUAAUCGAACCAUCUAGUAGCUGGUUCCUUCCGA
rnacentral:rRNA from 1 species